rnacentral:rRNA from 1 species
UUGCAUAUCCAAUAAGCGGAGGAAAAGAAACCAACCGGGAUUGCCUUAGUAACGGCGAGUGAAGCGGCAAAAGCUCAAAUUUGAAAUCUGGCGUCUUCGACGUCCGAGUUGUAAUUUGAAGAAGGCGACUUUGUAGCUGGUCCUUGUCUAUGUUCCUUGGAACAGGACGUCAUAGAGGGUGAGAAUCCCGUGUGGCGAGGAUCCCAGUUAUUUGUAAAGUGCUUUCGACGAGUCGAGUUGUUUGGGAAUGCAGCUCUAAGUGGGUGGUAAAUUCCAUCUAAAGCUAAAUAUUGGCGAGAGACCGAUAGCGAACAAGUACAGUGAUGGAAAGAUGAAAAGAACUUUGAAAAGAGAGUGAAAAAGUACGUGAAAUUGUUGAAAGGGAAGGGCAUUUGAUCAGACAUGGCGUUUGCUUCGGCUUUCGCUGGGCCAGCAUCAGUUUUAGCGGUUGGAUAAAUCCUCGGGAAUGUGGCUCUGCUUCGGUAGAGUGUUAUAGCCCGUGGGAAUACAGCCAGCUGGGACUGAGGAUUGCGACUUUUGUCAAGGAUGCUGGCGUAAUGGUUAAAUGCCGCCCGUCUUGAAACACGGACCCAGACUAUAGCGUUUAG